GACGUAGGGGGCCAGCGUUGUUCGGAUUUACUGGGCGUAAAGGGUGCGUAGGCGGCGCGGUAAGUCGGGUGUGAAAUCUCGGGGCUUAACUCCGAAACUGCAUUCGAUACUGCCGUGCUUGAGGACUGGAGAGGAGACUGGAAUUUACGGUGUAGCGGUGAAAUGCGUAGAUAUCGUAAGGAAGACCAGUGGCGAAGGCGGGUCUCUGGACAGUUCCUGACGCUGAGGCACGAAGGCCAGGGGAGCAAACGGG
rnacentral:rRNA from 1 species